GGGCCUUUAGCUCAGCGUUUAGAGCACCCGGCUUUUAACCGGAAAGUCGUAGGUUAGAAUCCUACAAGGCCCACCA
rnacentral:tRNA from 1 species